CCUACGGGUGGCAGCAGUGAGGAAUAUUGGUCAAUGGACGAGAGUCUGAACCAGCCAAGUAGCGUGAAGGAUGACUGCCCUAUGGGUUGUAAACUUCUUUUAUAUGGGAAUAAAAUGUUCCACGUGUGGGAUUUUGUAUGUACCAUAUGAAUAAGGAUCGGCUAACUCCGUGCCAGCAGCCGCGGUAAUACGGAGGAUCCGAGCGUUAUCCGAAUUUAUUGGGUUUAAAGGGAGCGUAGUUGGCUUGUUAAGUCAGUUGUGAAAGUUUGCGGCUCAACCGUAAAAUUGCAGUUGAGACUGGCAGUCUUGAGUACAGUAGAGGUAGGCGGAAUUCGUGGUGUAGCGGUGAAAUGCUUAGAUAUCACGAAGAACUCCGGUUGCGAAGGCAGCUCACUGGACUGUAACUGACACUGAGGCUCGAAAGUGUGGGUAGCAAACAGGAUUAGAUACCCUGGUAGUC
rnacentral:rRNA from 1 species